rnacentral:rRNA from 1 species
AAACCAACAGGGAUUGCCUCAGUAACGGCGAGUGAAGCGGCAAAAGCUCAAAUUUGAAAUCUGGCACCUUCGGUGUCCGAGUUGUAAUUUGAAGAAGCAACUUUGGUGCUGGUCCUUGUCUAUGUUCCUUGGAACAGGACGUCAUAGAGGGUGAGAAUCCCGUGUGGCGAGGAUCCCAGUGCUAUGUAAAGUGCUUUCGACGAGUCGAGUUGUUUGGGAAUGCAGCUCUAAGUGGGUGGUAAAUUCCAUCUAAAGCUAAAUAUUGGCGAGAGACCGAUAGCGAACAAGUACAGUGAUGGAAAGAUGAAAAGAACUUUGAAAAGAGAGUGAAAAAGUACGUGAAAUUGUUGAAAGGGAAGGGCAUUUGAUCAGACAUGGUGUUUGCGACCCUCGCUCCUUGUGGGUGGGAUCUCGCAGCUCACUGGGCCAACAUCGGUUUGCGGCAGGAUAAACUUGGGAAUGUAGCUUGUCUUCGGAGAGUAUAUAGCCCAAGGCAAUA